rnacentral:rRNA from 1 species
AGCGAACGCUGGCGGCAUGCUUAACACAUGCAAGUCGCGCGGACAGCUUCGGCUGCCGGCGGCGGACGGGUGCGGAACGCGUAGGAACGUGUCCGGAGAUCGGGGCCAACCCUGGGAAACCGCGGCUAAUACCGCAUAUGGCCCGCGGGCCAAAGCGGAAAGGCGGCUCCGGGGGGGGGUGCGUCCGCGUAGGUGGUGGGCGGCGUGACGGCCCACCACGUACGCGUGCGGUAGCCGGUCGGAGAGGCGGACCGGCCACGCCGGGACUGAGACACGGCCCAGACUCCUACGCGAGGCAGCAGUGUAGUAUAUUAGGGAAUGGGCGCAAGCCUGACACAGCAAUGCCGGGUGGGUGAAGAAGGUGUUCGGAUUGUAAAGCCCUUUCGGCGGGGACGAUGGUGACGGUACCCGCAGAAGAAGCCCCGGCCAACUUCGUG